rnacentral:misc_RNA from 1 species
CCUCCUCCUUCUCCUCCUCCUCCUCCACCUCCACCACCACUCGUCAAGAGUCUCCUCCAAGAUUUUCCCCUGAUGAAGCUCGAAAAGGCGCCGACAUCCUUGUUGAAGCGCUGGAACGCCAAGGGGUCACAGACGUGUUUGCUUAUCCAGGCGGCGCAUCCAUGGAGAUCCACCAAGCCCUAACUCGCUCUCCUAUAAUUCGUAAUGUCCUUCCGCGCCAUGAGCAAGGUGGGGUCUUUGCGGCUGAGGGAUAUGCUCGCGCUUCUGGCAAACCUGGCGUCUGCAUCGCAACCUCGGGACCCGGCGCCACAAAUCUCGUCAGCGGCUUGGCAGACGCUCUCCUUGACAGCGUCCCCAUUGUGGCUAUCACUGGCCAAGUCCCUCGCCGCAUGAUAGGCACCGACGCAUUCCAAGAAACUCCCAUUGUUGAGGUAAGUCGGUCAAUAACCAAGCACAAUUACCUGGUCCUUGAUGUUGAUGAUAUUCCUAGAAUUGUAAGUGAAGCUUUCUUUUUGGCCACCUCGGGACGUCCUGGCCCAGUUCUAAUUGAUGUACCAAAAGAUAUACAACAACAAUUAGCGGUUCCCAAUUGGAAUACACCUAUUAAAUUGCCUGGUUACAUGUCGAGGUUGCCUAAAGUGCCCAAUGAUUCACAUUUGGAGCAGAUUGUGAGGCUAAUUUUUGAGUCAAAGAAACCUGUUUUAUACGUGGGAGGUGGGUGUUUAAAUUCAAGCGAGGAAUUGAGGAAGUUUGUUGAGUUAACUGGGAUCCCAGU